rnacentral:misc_RNA from 1 species
GAUGAAGAACGUAGCGAAAUGCGAUAAGUAAUGUGAAUUGCAGAAUUCAGUGAAUCAUCGAAUCUUUGAACGCACCUUGCACUCCUUGGUAUUCCGAGGAGUACGCCUGUUCGAGUGUUAUGAAGCUCUCAAAACGCAAUUGGCUUAAAACCUGAUUGUUGUUUUGGAUUUGAACUUUGCCGUGUUAUAACGGCUGGUUUUAAAAGUAUUAGCUGGUACUAGAACGAAUUGGUUCUACUCAACGUGAUAAUUAUCUGAUCGUUGAGGACAUUCCUUUCACGAGGAAUGGCCAUAGUAAAUUCAAUGGACUGCUUCUAAUCUGGCUUUAAUUCUUUAUUGGAUUAACCACUUUUCAAAUCUGACCUCGAAUCAGGUGGGACUACCCGCUGAACUUAAGCAUAUCAAUAAGCGGA